rnacentral:lncRNA from 1 species
UUUCAUUUAUAACUUUUUUUUCAAAUACAAAAUGGGAAGUAAUAUAACAAAUGACUCGAAAAUCUAAACAAAACUGAUAGACUCUAUACUAUUGUACAAUACUAAUAAUUAAAAGAUAACAUGAAUGACAGACUCAAAACAUAAAAGUAUUUAUAAGCAACUCCUAAAUGCAGUGGUCCUGGGGUUGUCAUGCUCAAACUCUAGCAAAUUGGUCCAUACCUGAAUGAGAAAAAUAUGAUCAAAUAGAGUUAGUGAUUCAAGACACAUUGAAUCUCCUAUUGGACACAUGCAAGGCAUAAUUGGGCUAUUUUUGCAAAAAUGACCUAUGUGGCUAAGAAGGGAUAGAAGUGCAAACUCAACAAAGAUGACCUCAAAGACAUGGACAUACCUCCAUAAGACUUGUAUGGAUUCGACUUCCCAUAAUCAUGGCCCAACAAUUGAUUUGCAAGAAUGCCUCACUUUGCAAAAUCGCCCGAUAUAGCCAGAAAUGGCUAAAGAUGAAUACUCAAAAAGGAAGGACCUUACUUCCCAUAAUCAUGGCCCAAAAAUUGAUUUGCAAGAAUGACUCAUUUUGCAAAAUCGCCCGAUAUGGCCAGAAAUGACUAAAGAUGAAAACUCAAAAAGGAAGGACUUUAAAUUAUCUAUGACACUUAGUUGUGGACUCUAGAUCCUAGGACAUGGGUAGUUGAACCAGUUUUGCAAAAAUAACCCAAUUUUGCAAAAAUAGUCGAUGUGACCAAAAGUGGCUAGACAUGCAAAUUCAACAAAAAUUGGCCUUAAAAUUGAAAGAACACCUUGAUGUGGGCUUAGGACUCUAAGACAUAGGUUAAUAAUCCACUUACGCAAAAAUAACCUUAUUUUACAAGAAUGGCCGACGUGGCCAAAAACAGCUAGCCAUGCAAGAUUUGGGUAAGACCCAGCGAAGCCAAAAACCUAGGACACUGCGAAGACGGGACACUAUGUGGGUUGCCUACGUAUCUAGCCCCGAAAGGACGAGAAUCAGGUUCGCGUAGUUCGGGAAGAUGCAAUUAAUUUGAAAAAAUUAUAUUUUUGUCUUUUUGAAAAAUGAUGAUGGAAUGUAUUUUUGGGCCACGAGCCCAUUUUGACAAAAUUUGGACAAGCUCCCUACAAAGGGACACGGUACCUGGGACCGAGCCCUACUAGGUGUAAAUGACAUGAUACAAAUAAAAAUGACCUAAAGGCUGACCUAAGUUUGGGGUUCACUAACAAGGCAAUUCGGGGGAGCGUAUAGUUGAUGGUGGCUGCUCAAGCUUUUCACCCACUCCAUACGUUCGACGGCCCCCCUCCUGAAUUAAGGGUGACUCAACAAAGAGUUCGUGCACGCGACGCGUGCUCCGAGACUUGUUGCAGAAAGAAGACUCGUGGUUAUGUAAAUGAUGGCAAUUUAUAAUGCAGUAACACAUAAAGAAAAAACAUAUAAACAAGUAAGCAACUAGCAAAUAAUAAAAGACAUAAACAACAUAUAUAUCAAAUAAAGCAAACAAAACACAUUAAAACCUCAACCGAACAUCCUAAAAGCCAACAAGAUCAAAUACUAGCUCGAACCUGCAAAUCCCCAGCAAAGUCGCCAGAGAUGUCACACCCCUUUUUUUAAAACAAACCCUACUCAAUCCUCUUAAAUAAAUAAAAGGAUUUAAAUAAAGCUUGAAAAGGGUUUUCAAUUUUGAAAGUGACAAAAUUAUGUUUCAAAAGAAAAUAAACUCAAAGUCGCCACCUGACAUUUGAUUUCAGUGUGCCAGGUCACCGUUUUUUUCUAAAAAUAAUAAUUGUCCUUUCAAAACACUUUGAACUCUAAUCUAAGUCUAUACCAGAGAUAAGGGUAAAGGGGUUCAUUUGACUCGGGAGAAGGUGUUAGGCACUCCACAAGUCCCAUAACUGGUACCGUUGCUUACUCGAUCAAGUUGGCUUUUAAGAUAUUCAAAUUGAGGUAACAAAAUACACAAAAGAAAAUAAACAAUCAAAAAGGCUUGAGGUUGUCCAUACCUAAUAAAAUAAAAAAAUAAAUAUAAAACAAGAAUAAAGUACUACAAGUUUUGCUUUCGGCCUCCAAAUACAAAUAUCUCGGGGCAUACCCCGGGCAAAAUAUAUGUACAACUCCUUCUGGACAUUUCCCGGAUAAAUUUAACUAAGGAAACGACCUCUCGCCUCGAAAUUAACAAAAUCCCAAGGCUUGUUUAUCCAAAUUUGGUCGGGCUAAGGCAUGCUCUUAACGGUCCCAACAAUAAAAUCAACAUUAAAAUAACAUAGAUCCGUUUAUACCCAAUUCCAACUUCAUUCUUGCGUCAAGUCAAAACUAUUUUCCUUUUCCCAUUUGCACCUUAGUUUGACUUCUUAUGUUUGUAAAUUUCUUUCCAACAAUAAUUAGUAUGGGUAUGACAGCUAAAACUAAUUUAAUCAAAUUCAAAGCAUGAAAUAUUUAAAUAAUCAACAACAGAUAAUAUGCAAAAUCCAAACUCAUGUCAUUAAAGUCUUGUAUAUGAAACUAAAAGGAGAUAGGAAAGAGUUGACCUCAAAACAAAGUAAUUUGAAUCUGAAAAUGCGUAACAAUCUCGGGGGACUGCGAAUCUACCCAAAAACCUUGAAUCCGACACCAACUUCGAACGGACCUCUCCCCGGACAGAAAAUGGAACUCGAAUCUCUCUGAGAAAACCUCAAAUCGACAAAUCGAAGACCUCUCCGGGAAAAUAGGAACUUCGACGGAAAACCAACCGGAUUCUGCCGGAAUUUGAACGAAGCAAUAAUGAAACGAACCAGGCGACUAGAACCUUGGUCGAACCUAAUUUGCAGCUACUGUCCAAUCGAUUUAGGAAUUAGAAAAUUGAAGAUUGGAAGAUUUUGGUCCAUCUUUUCUUUCAACAAUGGCUGCCUUCCUUUGUUUUCCCAUGUAUGUUCGUUUUUCUUUCAACAAUGGCUGCACCACUGGUCCGUCGGUGGAAGUUGACGGAAAAGUAGAUGGGGCUGUAGUGGGCUGGCUUCAGCUGGUCGACGGGGAUCGUUUGGUGGUCGUGAGGAGCUCGCCGGUGAGGGGUUGUUUUUGUGUUGGAGGUUGACGGCGGCUGGUUUUUUGGCUCUUUAGGGUUUAGUCUUCUUGUGUUUUUUUGGAUGGGGAAGUAGAGGGGAGUCUAGGGUUUUUUCUUUUUUCUUCUUUUUUUUUUUU